rnacentral:rRNA from 1 species
AUGGAAGGCCUACUACAUUGGGACUUUGCACCGGGCCUUGCCCUGGCAGAUCAGGUAAGAAGAAAAUUUGGAUCAACAGUGCACUUUUCUCCCUCCCGGGACACCAAGGAGUUCUUUUUGGUGGUUUCUUUCUCUUCGGCCUCUUUCCCUCUUACGGUGGAUUCAGUUGGGGUUGUAUUACAAUGUUGCAUUGGAGGGUUUUGCUCAGGUUUCAAUGUGGUUCCCAUCACUUCCAGAUCAUUUCGUUUUUCUGUGGUCAACAACAAAGUGGGACACUUCAUCUAUGGACUCAAAUAUCAUGUUUGGAUGGACUUUGUGUGCCACUUUCAUAUGUUUAAUGGUCGUUUUGCCAAAGCAACCCCCCUUGAGUCACAUUGGCAUGCUGAUAAAGAAUUGGUUGAGAUUCUGGAUCGAAAGCCUUUGGCCUUGAAAACAUCUUUGAACUUUUUGAGCAAGGGUAAACCCAUGGACCAUUCUUCUUUGAAGGAGCUGAGUAAAUUUGGCGUAGUGAAGCUGGACAAUUGGAAUUUCUCUAACAAAAAUGCUCAUGAGGCAUCAUCAUCAUCAUUGAGUUCCUAG